rnacentral:tRNA from 1 species
AGUGCUACGCCGGAUGAACGGAAAUCAUUGAUGUUGAUUAAUAUGGGGGUGUGCUCUCUGGUACUA